rnacentral:misc_RNA from 1 species
CGCCGCGGCCGUGGGCGCCCGGAACGAGACGUCGUUCAUGGUGCCCACGAUGAUGGACUCGUCGCUGUCGCUCCUGGCGCACGCCCGCCCGCCGUCGCGGCACACGGAGCCCAGGCUGAGCGUGACGAGCAUGUGGUCGUCGGCGCGCGCCGGCGGCACCCGGUGGCGGCGGCGCAGGCUCGAGAGGUUGCCGUGGAAGUGGAAGCUGAUGGUCGUGUCGUGCUGGUCAGGCAUGUCGGGCAUGACGACUGCGGGAUCUGCUGCAGGGACGACGACACCAUCGACGGCGACGUCGCUGCUGCUGCUGCGGUACUGGACUAUCCCGCGCGUGAUGGUCGGCGGGACCUGCACGUCGG